rnacentral:rRNA from 1 species
UACGUAGGGGGCGAGCGUUGUCCGAAGUUACUGGGCGUAAAGCGCGCGUAGGCGGUCUUUUAAGUCUGGUGUGAAAGGUUCAGGGCUCAACCCGAACAGUGCACUGGAUACUGGGAGACUUGAGUGCGGGAGAGGAGAGUGGAAUUCCUGGUGUAGCGGUGAAAUGCGUAGAUAUCAGGAGGAACACCUAUUGCGAAGGCAGCUCGCUGGGACGUAACUGACGCUGAGACGCGAAAGCGUGGGGAGCAAACAGG